rnacentral:rRNA from 1 species
AAAGGAAUAGACGGGGGCCCGCACAAGCAGCGGAGCGUGUGGUUUAAUUCGACGCAACGCGAAGAACCUUACCCAGGCUUGACAUGUGCCUGCACACGCCUGAAAGGGCGCUCCUUCGAGGGUGGCACACAGGUGCUGCAUGGUUGUCGUCAGCUCGUGUCGUGAGAUGUUGGGUUAAGUCCCGCAACGAGCGCAACCCGCGUCGGCAGUUAUACGUGUCUGCCGAGACAGCCGCCUUGAUGGGCGGAGGAAGGCGCGGAUGACGUCAAAUCAGCAUGGCCCUUACGCCUGGGGCGACACACACGCUACAAUGGCCAGGACAGUGCGCCGCUACCGAGCAAUCGGAGGCAAAUCGCCAAACCUGGCCCCAGUUCAGAUCGAGGGCUGCAACUCGCCCUCGUGAAGGCGGAGUUGCUAGUAACCGCGUAUCAGCCAUGGCGCGGUGAAUACGUUCCCGGGCCUUGUACACACCGCCCGU